UACGGAGGGUGCUAGCGUUGUUCGGAAUGACUGGGCGUAAAGCGCGCGUAGGCGGCUUGAUAAGUCGGAAGUGAAAUCCCAGGGCUUAACCCUGGAAUGGCUUUCGAAACUGUCUUGCUAGAGUAUGGUAGGGGAUAGUGGAAUUCCUAGUGUAGAGGUGAAAUUCGUAGAUAUUAGGAGGAACACCGGAGGCGAAGGCGGCUAUCUGGACCAUUACUGACGCUGAGGCGCGAAAGCGUGGGGAGCAAACAGG
rnacentral:rRNA from 1 species